AUUGAACGCUGGCGGCAUGCCUAACACAUGCAAGUCGAACGGCCGCGCGGGCUUCGUCCUGGCGGCGAGUGGCGAACGGGUGAGUAAUUCAUCGGAACGUGCCCAGCCGUUGGGGCUAGCCCGGCUAAAGCCGGCUUAAUACCACAUACGACCUGAGGUUGAAAGCGGGGGACCGAAAGGCCUCGCGCUAUUUGAUCGGCCUGUGUCGGAUUAGCGAGGUGGUUGGGCAAAGGCUUACCAAGGCGACGAUCCGUAGCUGGUCUGAGAGGGCGACCGGCCACAAUGGGAAUGAGGAACCGUCCCGACUCCCAACGGGAGGCAGCGGUGGGAAAUUUCGGACAAGGGGGGCAGCCUUACGCCAGCCAGGCGGCGUGCGGGAGGAGGGCCUUCGGGUUGUAAACCGCUUUUGUUCGGAAAGAAAACCGCUGGGCUAAUACCCCGGGGGGAGGAGGGUACCGGAAGAAUAAGCACCGGCUAACUACGU
rnacentral:rRNA from 1 species